rnacentral:tRNA from 1 species
GGUUCCGUAGCUCAGCCGGUAGAGCAACAGACUUUUAAUCUGUGGGUCAAGGAUUCGAAUUCCUUCGGAGCCACCA